rnacentral:rRNA from 1 species
GACGAACGCUGGCGGCGUGCUUAACACAUGCAAGUCGAACGGGCCUGUCUUCUUUUUUGGGGGUGGGUUGAGUGGCGAACGGGUGAGUAUCACGUGAGUAACCUGCCCUUCGGUCCUGGAUAACCGCUUGAAAGGGCGGCUAAUACGGGGUGGUCCGGUUGGUCCGCAUGGGCUGGUCGGGAUAGAUUCACUGUUUUUGGUGUUUCGGCGGGGGAUGGGCUCGCGGCCUAUCAGCUUGUUGGUGGGGUGAUGGCCUACCAAGGCGGUGACGGGUAGCCGGCCUGAGGGGGGGGGCGGCCACACUGGGACUGAGAUACGGCCCAGACUGCUGCGGGAGGCAGCAGUGGGGGGUAUUGCACAAGGGGCGGAAGCCUGAUGCAGCGACGUCGCGUGAAGGAGGGAGGCCUUCGGGUUGUGAACCUCUGUUUCCGGUGGUGAAGGCCCUGUCCGUGUGGUGGGGUUGACGGUAGCCGGGGAUGAAGCGCCGGCUAACUACGUG